rnacentral:tRNA from 1 species
GCCCUGGUGGCUCAGUGGUUAAAGCGCUUGGCUGCUAACCAAAAGGUUGCGGUUCAAACCCACCAGCUGCU